UCCGAGUUGUCCCCGGCAGUCUCCUAUGAGUCCCCGACUUAACUCGCUGGUAACAUAGGACAAGGGUUGCGCUCGUUGCGGGACUUAACCCAACAUCUCACGACACGAGCUGACGACAGCCAUGCACCACCUGUUAUGGGCCCUUUCGGACACCGUAUCUCUACGGCUUUUCCCAUAAUGUCAAACCCAGGUAAGGUUCUUCGGGUUGCAUCGAAUUAAGCCGCAUGCUCCGCCGCUUGUGCGGGGACCCGUCAAUUCCUUUGAGUUUUAGCCUUGCGGCCGUACUCCCCAGGCGGGGUGCUUAAUGCGUUUGCGACGGCACGGAAGGGGUUGAUGCCUCCCACACCUAGCACCCAACGUUUACGGCUGGGACUAC
rnacentral:misc_RNA from 1 species